UACGUAGGGGGCUAGCGUUGUCCGGAUUUAUUGGGCGUAAAGAGCGUGUAGGCGGCCAGGUAGGUCUGCUGUGAAACUCGAGGCUCAACCUCGAGACGUCGGCGGAAACCAUCUGGCUAGAGUCCGGAAGAGGAGAGUGGAAUUCCUGGUGUAGCGGUGAAAUGCGCCAGAGAUCAGGAAGAACACCGGUGGCGAAAGCGCUCUGCUGGACCUUAACUGACAUGAGGGACGAAAAGCUAGGGGAGCAAUGGG
rnacentral:rRNA from 1 species